GCAGCNACGCCGCGUUGNGGGAUGACGGCCUUCGGGUUGUAAACCUCUUUCAGCAGGGACGAAGCUAACGUGACGGUACCUGCAGAAGAAGCGCCGGCUAACUACGUGCCAGCAGCCGCGGUAAUACGUAGGGCGCAAGCGUUGUCCGGAAUUAUUGGGCGUAAAGAGCUCGUAGGCGGUUUGUCGCGUCUGUCGUGAAAGCCCACGGCUUAACCGUGGGUCUGCGGUGGAUACGGGCAGACUAGAGGCAGGUAGGGGAGAAUGGAAUUCCCGGUGUAGCGGUGAAAUGCGCAGAUAUCGGGAGGAACACCGGUGGCGAAGGCGGUUCUCUGGGCCUGUACUGACGCUNAGGGGCGAAAGCGUGGGGAGCGAACAGGAUUAGAUACCCUGGUAGUCCACGCCGUAAACGUUGGGCGCUAGGUGUGGGGUUCUUCCACGGAUUCCGCGCCNUAGCUAACGCAUUAAGCGCCCCGCCUGGGGAGUACGGCCGCAAGGCUA
rnacentral:rRNA from 1 species